CAACACAGUGCACAUCUUGCGCUGAGAACUUGACAGACAUUGUUGCAAGAAAGAUAACUCCUUCUGAUUUAUUAUCUCUUGCUGAUGAAGAUGUUCAAAAUAUUGUCCCCAGCACUUCUAAGUAACAGCACUUGUGAUUGUCUGCCAGUUAAGAAGCCUCUCAUCAUGAGCAGAUGCAGAGAAGAAAGUUAAAGACCUGCUACAAAAGUUCAGAAUUUAUCUUCCCUUUAAGUUCACGCCAGGAGCAAGUAAUAUGCUCUUCUGGCAGAAAAGAACUAGAACAAUGCAAUGGCUUCCACUACUUAUGUAUUUUGGGAAAGUAGGUCUUGUGGAAGUGACAAACUGGGAAGUUUUAUGGUCAAAACAAAUAUCUGUAAUUCUCUCCUGAGGCCGGCUUAUAACCCCUGACUCUGAAUGCCUCCUAAGUGAAUAUAUCUGGAGUAUGCUUAGUACAUUACUUAAUUAUCUGAAAUGCUAAGCACAAAAACUAAAAUUGCUAUCUCAGAGCAAGAAAGGAAAACAAGG
rnacentral:lncRNA from 1 species